GAUUGGAUCAUAUUUACCUCUAUACUCUAUCUUUGAGGCAAAGAUAGAGAUAAUAUAGACAUGGGUUGGAGAUGCUCUUAGACUUUUUUUUUUUCCGGCAAAAACAACUUUUGAUUGAUUAAAGAGAGUUAUUACAAAGAAUUAUUGAACAUAGUUAUUACAUACGAAGAUGUAUGUGCCCAUACACUAAGAAAAAUAUAGCAGGAGGGAGAUUGACGAUGCUUUCCGAAGAGUAGUCUUACUCGCUAACCGACCAUGAGAUCCGUUAUCGUCCAACUUCAUAUUAG
rnacentral:lncRNA from 1 species